CAAGAACCAAACCUUUUCUCAAGAGCACUCAGCACCCAGCACUCAGCAGUACUGGUAACAGGCAGCAACACAAAGUCACAAAUCAGCCAUCGUCGGGUUCUCAUUUCUCAAUCUCAAUCUCAGAUUUUCAGUCAAAUCGGGAAAAUUCACCAUUUUGCUAUCCAUUUCUCUUCCAGCACACCAAUACCCAGAGGCCAGGAAGGGCUGAUAGAUGAAAAUGGGCAGUUGCAAUGUUGAUUUCAGGGAUGGUGUUUUGAUGGAUGUGGAUCUUGCACUAGGAGUCUAGGAUUCCUUAGGCUGCAUCUCAAGGUCCAGAAGCCGGUGCUUGCUUUUUGUUUGGCCUGAUGAGAAGGGUCGGGAAAGACCAAGUGCUACCCUUGUUCCACCCUAUUAUUAUAAUAGAGUAAAUUUAAGUUACAAUACCCUUCCUUGUUUAAGGUUUGAAAUCUCAAUGGCUUCCUAUACUAGUUUCUUCUACCUUUUACUUCAUGAAUUUGAUAUCUGGGUUUUAGCAUACCACUGAAAUGCAUCCUAAAUUAUUGGCAAAAGCUUCCAUUUCAUCAAUCAUGACAACCAAGUUAAGCUUAUGUUAGGCAACGACUUAAUUGUCUCUUGGAUGUGGUUUAUCAUUUCCCUGCAGAAUAGAGAUAGACACAAAGCUUCCAAUAGUUGGGGAGCAGAAAUGGAAGAUUGAGAUAUGUUUAUUCAAUCUACCAGGAGAUCUUUACAAGUCCUAAAUUUCUUUCAUCAAUACUGCCCAUUGGCCCCAUAUCUUAUGCCUUUUUAUAUUUUUAAUUAAUAUGAUUUUGGGUCAAUACUGCCCAUUAAUUUUAGGUACAAUCCAAAAUCAUAAAAAGAUUAUUGAACUUAAAAGAAGAGAAAAAUAGUUGUCUGUCGCCUUUCAAUUUUUAUUUUUCAUUUUUAUGUAAUGUUUUUAAUUAUGUAGUGAUUCAAGGACUUAUGUACUUUUUUUUUUAAUUAUGUAGUGAUUCAAAGACUUAUGUGCUUUUAUUUUAA